rnacentral:rRNA from 1 species
UACGUAGGGUGCAAGCGUUAAUCGGAAUUACUGGGCGUAAAGCGUGCGCAGGCGGUUGUGCAAGACAGAUGUGAAAUCCCCGGGCUUAACCUGGGAACUGCGUUUGAAACUGGGAGACUUGAGUGUGGCAGAGGGGGGUGGAAUUCCACGUGUAGCAGUGAAAUGCGUAGAUAUGUGGAGGAACACCGAUGGCGAAGGCAGCCCCCUGGGUUAACACUGACGCUCAUGCACGAAAGCGUGGGGAGCAAACAGG